GAUCAUGGCUCAGGAUGAACGCUAGCUACAGGCUUAACACAUGCAAGUCGAGGGGAAACGACAUCGAAAGCUUGCUUCCGAUGGGCGUCGACCGGCGCACGGGUGAGUAACGCGUAUCCAACCUGCCCACCACUUGGGGAUAACCUUGCGAAAGUAAGACUAAUACCCAAUGAUAUCUCUAGAAGACAUCUGAAAGAGAUUAAAGAUUUAUCGGUGAUGGAUGGGGAGUGCGU
rnacentral:rRNA from 1 species